UCUUGCGUACGGCGGUGCAGGUCCCCAGAUGCUGAGGGCUUGGGGGUUAGUUCCUCUCUGCUUUGGGGUGGUGUUUGCGCGUUGCUUUCGUCUUUUCAGAUGUUCGUGUCUUUCUAGACUGCGAUUUUAUUGGGAAGUUACAGUCAAUGUAGUGUAAGAUGCCUUAUGGUGAAAUUGAAGCGAAAUCCUUGGGUCAUGGUGAAGAACUAACAGGUGAACCAUGCUAUAAAAAAUUGAAGUCAACUGAAGAGGCUUAUGUUUUUUCCCAUCAUGGUAGUGCUAAUUUUCACAGAAUCCAAGAAAAAACUGGGAGUGAUUGGGUCCCUGUGACCACUCUUGAUGUCAGAGGACAUAGUUAUGCUCAGGAGGACAAAACCAAAGCUACAGACUCACUGAAACCUGUGCAUGAAGAGAUGUGUAGUAAUAGUAGAUCAGAUGUUAUUGAAUCCAUUGAUCCAGGUCCUGCAUUGGUAUCCACAGAUGAUGAGAUAUAUAGCACAAGUAAAGCAUUUAUAGGACCCAUUUACAAACCUCCUGAGAAGAAGAAAUGUAACGAAAGGGGAAAUCACUCAGUCACAAGCAGUGGUAUAGAUGGCAAAGGGAGACGAGAACAGAAACAGAAAUUCAACUCCAAAGUAUCAGAACUUGACAAUGAAUUAUUCCAAUUUUACAAAGAAAUUGAAGAGCUUGAAAAUGAAAAAGAUGAUUUGGAAGGCAGUUAUAAUGAACCUGAACUCUCUGAGGAAAAACUUGUUACAUAUUGUCAGGAUCAUAAUAAUGAUCUGUUAAAAUCUGAAGAAGGAAAGGAAAGAGAUAAUAGUAACGUUCUUCAGUCACAUUGCGGUUACCAGCAGCACGUGGGGAACGAGCCAGGCAAAUAUCCUUAUAAUGGACAAGUAAUACCUCCAUUUUGUGAUGAUUCAUUUACUUCCUUCAGGCCUGAAUGGCAAUCAGUGCAUUCUUUUUUAGUACCCCACGGUCCUCCUCCUCCCAGUUUUAACUAUCAUUUAAGUUUUCAAAGAUUCAGUGCUCCACCAAAUCCACCAUCAAAUAUUUUCCAUGUCCAAGAUGGCUCUCAGCAUCAAAAUGAGUAUUAUGUAAAUAGUUGUCACAUUAAUUGGAAUUGUUUGACUUUUGAUCCGAACAAUGACUAUAUUGACUGUAGUGAGAAUACCGGUAGAGAUCAUUCCUCUACAAAUGACUACAGUGAGCAAGAUGAAUAUGUGAGUAAUGGUUUCUAUGAAACCAGGGAAGGAUGCUGGGAAAAUCCUAUGGACAAGCAUAAUGGAACAGGCAGGCUUAUGAACCAGCAUUUUCAAGAGGAAAAGUUAAAUAAAUUGCAGAAGUUACUUAUUCUUUUAAGAGGUUUGCCUGGUUCUGGGAAAACAACGUUGUCUCGAAUUCUGCUUGGUCAGAGUCGUGAUGGCAUUGUGUUCAGCACUGAUGACUAUUUUCACCACCAAGAUGGGUACAGGUAUAAUGUUAAUCAACUUGGUGAUGCCCAUGACUGGAACCAGAACAGAGCAAAACAAGCUAUCAAUCAGGGGAGAUCUCCAGUUAUAAUAGACAACACUAAUACACAAGCUUGGGAAAUGAAACCAUAUGUGGAAAUGGCCAUAGGAAAAGGAUACAGAGUAGAGUUUCAUGAACCUGAAACUUGGUGGAAAUUUGAUCCUGAAGAAUUAGAAAAGAGGAAUAAACAUGGUGUAUCUCGAAAGAAGAUUGCUCAGAUGUUGGAUCGUUACGAAUACGAAAUGUCCAUCUCUAUUGUAAUGAAUUCGGUGGAACCGCCACACAAAAGCACACAAAGACCUCCUCCUUCACAGGGGAGACAGAGAGAAAGAGAUUUGAAGAAAACUGGGCACAGGCUCAGCAAAACCAAACAGAAGAGAAACAGAAAAAGAAAUAAAAAGCAGAACAGUCAUAGUAAAAUCAUGGGAGAAAACUCAUUUGAAAUCUUAAGUUACCAUAUACCAGGGGAUCAGGACCCAUCCCAGAGUGAAGAGGAAGACCUGGAAGACACCAAAAGAGAAUCAGUGCAUGACUUCACUGGUGGGCUGGGAGAUGAACUAAGAGAUUUAGUAAAUGGCCACAAAGAUGAGGUGUGGAAAAGCAUAAAUCCUGAAGAGAGUUUUCCAAAUGUUACAUCUGAAAUUGAGCGGGAAAAUGCACCAAAAAAUUACCUCUCUAAAGAAAACAAUGAUUUGUUUCUAAAUAUGUCACUGAUGUCAAAUGAAAACUCUGUUACUUGCCUGACAAUGACUCAGGAUCUUUCCUGCGUAGCAAGUGAUGACUACAUGAAGAUAGGAAAGCAUACUGGAAAUAGGCAACCCAUGGCAUCAGACAUCCAGGGUGGAUCCACUGACAUCUCCUGCUUAUCUAUGCAGAAGAGAGAGAAAGUAGAUAAAAGACUCACAAAUGAAACAAUUCUUUGCCAUCAGUAUGGGUCCAGAACUUCAGAGAAAGAUUUAAGAAAGAAACAAGGAAUAAAUGCAACUAAAAACAACUAUUGGGCUCUUUUUCCAGACAAUCUAACUGAUGAAGAAUUAUGGAUGGGCUCUGAGAGACAACCCUGUUUAGGGAGCUGGCCUGAGGGACCUCAUAAGUUUAUAUGUGAACAAAGACCAAAGAAAGAUAGAUGGCAAAAGCUGGUCUCUCCGGACAGCAGGGGACAAUUGAUUACAUUGAUCUCUGCUUGUGAAGAAACUUCAGUAUCAAGGAGCUGUCCAGAAACAUUGAUAGAGGAGAAACUAUUGAUAGAAAAUGAAGAUUUGUCACCUCCAACUGAGAAUACAGAUUCAUUCAUAGAAAGUGAAACAAGUAUCAUUAGAAUCUGCUUGCCUAAACUGGAUAUCCCAAAGAGUGACUUACACUCAACAAAGAAUAAGAAAAGGAGAGAGAAAAGGAUUUUCAAUUUGGCACCAAAUUUUAACUUACUGGAACAGAGAUAUAUCAAUGUAAAAGAAAGAGGGUCAUGUGGCUUGUCAACAGAAAGCAAAGGACUAGAAAUUAUUUUGGAAGAAGAAAAAGAUAGAAUUUCAGAAAUAAAUCAUAAAAAGGAGAAUACACGAAAACUUAUGACCUUGAAUCAUCAUCAUCAUCCAUCGUGGUUUUACUUUGAUAUUAUCAAAGAUCUUCCUCUAAAUGUUGGUAGACAAUCUUAUUCUUAUUACCUGCCAUUUAAUAGACUAAGCCACUCUGUAUAUUUUUACAAAAACCCUAUUCCUUCUCUUGUGCUACAAUAUACAGCUAGCUUUCAGAUGGUAUCUUUUACAAGCAAGAAAUCAUUUUUGACUUUCAAGUCUCAGACAAGAGUAGAUAACCAACUAAGUGACCGAGGAUUUAGUUCUUCAGAAAUUUUAAGUAGCCAACCUGAUCCUUUCCACUCUUUUAGGGUCACUUCUGAUCUUCACUUUUUAAGUGAAAGUUUCGACAAAAGGCUGAAGACAUGGGAAGAACCUAAGCCCUUACAGUUCUUGCAAACUGAGGAUGACCAAGAUUUAACAAGCACUGGCUUUGAUUCCCUUGAGCUGCAAUUAUCACAAGUGUUUGCCUUUCAACUAGUAAAGCUUUUUGGAUCCCCCGGAGUUCCAAUGGCAGUAGACGUAGAGGACCCAUAGCAAAUGGUGCUUGAUCUUCAGUCAUGUGCCGGCCUCCACCUCAAGGACCAGCAGUCUUAAAUGUCUUUGAGCACUUAGAAUCCUUGGACUCUCUAUAUAAAUAGACACUGAGAAGAACAAAGGAUGAGGCAGGCGAACAGUAAUGAAACAAAUAAAGAUGGGUUACCCUUUUUUUUUUUAAUCUUCCUAUUUUAUACAUUUCCCUUGUUUGGCAAAUGGCCCUUUCCUUUCUCAUGUGUAGUAUGGCUCAUAGAUAACAGAAUAGUAAAGAGGGUGGAAAUGUGAAGGUUAAAUGAUGAAAAAAUAUCUGAAAUAAGUUGAAUUUUUAAAACUAUCUGAAAAAGAUACAAAGAUUCCUUCUGGCUCUUGUUUUUGGAAAUGAAAAAUCCACCUAUUAUUAAAACACAUUAAAAUGUUUUUGUAGUAUCCUGAGUAAAAUUCUAAGUAAACUUCUAAAUAAUACAUAUAUUUAAGAUGCCAAAAGUCUUAGGAAAUUGAACACAUAUUCCAAUUUUUCCUUACCUGUAAAUCAGUUGCAGUGUUAGUGAUUUAAUUGAGUUGAAUGUGUCCUCUUCCUUGGGGACAGAAACUGUAAGAGCCAAGAAGUCAAAGCUCCAUUCCCCACAGUUCUCCUGUAUCUUCUUGAUAUUCUUUCUUUUCUAAACAUACCAGGAGUAGAGGACCCAUACCAGGGUCUCUGGGUCCUGCUCUUCUCUCAGAGCUUAUCUUUCAGAGGUUUUUACAUUGCUCCUAAAUUUCUGCUGUUCUGGGCAAAAUUGGGGCCCAGAUCCCAGACCCAAGACUGGCUAAGUCUCAGGGUGAGGCAUCAAGCAGUUAUUAACCUGCUCUUGAGGGUCUAGCAUUAUGUUUAUCAUUUUUGUAAACUGUGAAUAAUCACUUCUUAAACUGUUUGCUGCAGUAUGCUAUCCUAGACACACUGGAGAAAUAUACCAAUUAAAAAAAUUAAAAUGCAUUUGCUUUAGGGAAUUUUGAAAGAUAAGUGAAGUCAUUUUAGGUCAGGGGUCUUAGUCCUAGGUCCAUAUUCUAAAUGUAUGCAAAAAUUUUUGUGUCAUUUUGAACAUUUUUCUGAGAAAGUUAAUAGAUUUUAUCACUUUCUGGGGCAGGGGAGGGGGUGUCAGUGCAUGACUUGAAAAGAUUAACAAUCACUGUAUUAAAUUAACAUCAGAAAACAUGAAGGCACUGGUGAGAAAAGAUUCUAAACCUCCUCCUCCCUUGAAUGCACCAUCAUAAUCAACAGUAAUGAUCAAGCAUCCAUUAAUUAAGCUUUGGAAAGCUUUCCAGAGGAAAUAGACCUCAUUCAUCAAAUAGCUUACCUUCUAAAUGGGGAGCAAGACUAACACAAAACAAAAUUAUUGCACACAGAAAAUAUAAAUGACAAACUUAUGAAUAUUCUAUGAGCAAGGUUAGCAGUGCUUAAGGGAUUGUUGAAGAGAAUAUGGGGUUAUGGUUUUUUGGGGGAUGGCUUUAAUGUGAAAAUGAAUUAUAAGCAGUGCUUAUACAAAUGUAGCUUAAAAAAUAUAUAGGGAAAGAAUUUCACAUUUGGAUAUUGUGGGUGCUUAAAAAAGGAGAGGAAAAACUUAAGUGGAAACUGUCAACUGAUUUGUUUGGCCAAGUUGGAGAAGCAAAGCUUUGAUGCAUGUAGGGCUAGUGGCCUUGUAAAUGAAGCAGGGAGCUCAAAUGAAUCCUAGUAUUAGGAGGUAUUAUAAUUAUAUAUAAAGCCACACACAGGUCUGAAGAAACCAAACUACUCUUAUUGCCAGGGACAUGUGUGUAUAGGAAAAAUAUUUUGUGUGAUUUGAUAUGGCUGAUAUGUAUAUAUCAGUGUUUGGACUUAUUUGUGAACAUCUUAAUUAUCUGUGAGGAUUUUUCCCCAGACACUCUUAUGUGGAAGGAAUAGUUUACAGUAAGACUGAACUUGCUAUAGUUGUGCUGUUUCUACCUGUCACGGGAAGGGAUAACUACCUGAAUUUCUAUGCCCUGUGACAAUGCCACUUGAAGCAAAUAUAUAAUGUGUGUUAUAAUAUAUUUAUUAUUGAUAUAUAUUUUUACUUAAUGAAAAUUUGAACUAUGAUACAUAUCGCUUUACAUGUAUAAAUAAGCAUUUCCAUUGUGUCAGGAUAGUGUUUACUAAUAAAGGCCUGAGAUAAACUAACUCCUGCUCUAGCCAUCAGUGAAAUAUCUUCCAAACCAGGUUCUUACCAUUAUGUCAGUCUAAAUAUCAUGUUUGCAUAUCUUCACAUUUAGGGUAAAAAAUCUGUAUGACAUUGGAGAUGAAAUUUGUUCACUUUUAUUUUCACAGAAUCUUUGAUGCCUGAUGACUGUGUGGUUUCCCUUGACUGGAAGACACUGAAGAUGAUCUAUUUGCAAUGGAAGACUUCACUAGAGAAAAGACAGAAGAAGAUUGGUUAAAAAUGAGAAUUUCUAGA